CUUCUCUGGGGCUGUGGACUAUGGCCAUUCUCUUGUAGGUAGAGGGCAUUUGGCACUGUCUUAGUCAGUUUUUAGACAAGUAUUUUCCAGAUUGUAGCUUUCUUCUCCUGACUCAAACCUCACUGAUCAUCCUUUCCACAGAAAAGAUCCGUUCUACUACUUGUUGCUGGUGUUUUAUACGUGGUGGGAGUCCUCAUGAACUGAAUGAACUAGACAUUCUGGCCAAGGAAAAGGUGGUUCCCCAGAUCCUGUUCGACUGUCCAGCGGGCCGGGACAAUAGCCCAAUGCCAGGUGUUUGUGGUUUCUGCCUUUAUAAACCCCU